UACGGAGGGUGCGAGCGUUAAUCGGAAUAACUGGGCGUAAAGGGCACGCAGGCGGGCUGUUAAGUGAGAUGUGAAAUCCCCGGGCUUAACCUGGGAACAGCAUUUGAGACUGGGAGUCUAGAGUUAUUUAGGGGGGGGUAGAAUUCCACGUGUAGCGGUGAAAUGCGUAGAGAUGUGGAGGAAUACCGAUGGCGAAGGCAGCCCCUUGGGAGUGUACUGACGCUCAGGUGCGAAAGCGUGGGGAGCAAACAGG
rnacentral:rRNA from 1 species